AAAACAAAUCUUCUAGGUGAAUCUCAAAACGUUCGUUCAGACUAGUUCGGGGAAGUUUUUCUUCGCUGAUGUUAAGUCAGGGGAACUGUCACUUCUGUACCCUGGCAUUUCUUACAGCUGGGCAUAAGCAGUCACUCCCGCCGCUCCCAGCCGCCCGGGCUCCCGACCGUCUCUUAUAACUUCCAGUCAUGUGCUUGAUGUCUGCGGAAAAGAGAAAGUAGGACCAGAAAUUCAAGUCAGCUCUGCUCCAUACUAUCUAAUCGCCCAGUCAAGGCGAUUUCGUAUGUUAAGCAACAUCAACGAGUUGCAUGACGCACUUUCUCCUCGGUCAGGAAAAGCUCCGUACCCAUCGCAACAUCCUGUUUUGUUGCAUGUGGUCUCAAUGUCUGUGAUCUUCCUCCUGGAACGGCGUUUCUUGGCUCAGGUGUCUCUGGACAGGCACUGAAGUAUCCUCUGUCCUUUUAUGUGGUUUGUAAUGCUUGGGAAAUGGUACUGGAGGCAAAGGUGAGCGUCCAGAGCAACUUGGUCUUUUUGUUUUCUUUUAAAUGCAAUAUUGGUGAAUA
rnacentral:lncRNA from 1 species